rnacentral:misc_RNA from 1 species
CUACGUACUUCUCAAUUCCAUUUCAUUGCAAUAUUACAAAAAUAAAGUUUCAAUUAUUUAAAAAAUCGAAAUGGCAGUCCCGGUAUUACGCCAGCCAAAGUUGAAACAGGAGAAAUCUAAAGUUGUAAUGGAUAUUCCUAACGUAAUAAUUACUUUGAAAGACAAAACACGGCUUGUAGUGUCGUCUGACGCAUACCACGGAAUAUUAAUGGCCAGUAACAUGUACAAAUGUGUGUUUUGUACAACAGAUAUGGAUCUCGAUAUGGUAUAUAAAGAGCAGCACAAAAACACUAAUACGCAUAAGGAGAACCUAAAAAACUACCCUCACAUUGAUGGGUACGACGAAAAUUUAGUGCGAAAGUUAAACAAAGACAUGUGGUACUGUACGAUAUGUCAAAUAACGGUCGCAACCUCCUGCCUAUCACGUCACAUCAACACCAGUUCUCAUUGUGAAGAAUUGAGGAAGGCCAUCGUGAAAGCUACAGCGUAUAAGUCUACUUAGAGAGCAAUUUUUUAUUAAUAUGCAUUAUACAACAUUAACAAUUUGCAAUAACCAAAUAUUGCAUGAUAUUUUCUGUAUCACAAAAUACAUAGCACACACCUUGUUGAGGUACCAACCUGAGGGAAGAGGAAAACAUCAAGUUAUUGUUUAAUAACUCAUCAAUAGACAGC